rnacentral:lncRNA from 1 species
UUUGAUCUUUAAAUCAAUGUGUUCAGCUUGGGUAAAUUUUUAAACACAUAUAUUCAUAACUCCAGGGUAGACUUCCUGAUGGACAAGAAAUAGCAGUGAAAAGACUAUCCAGAGGCUCGGGACAGGGCUUAAAAGAAUUUGAGAAUGAGGUGGAACUGAUAUUGAAACUCCAACACAGGAACCUAGUUAAGCUUUUGGGUUGCUGCACUCAUGGAGACGAGAAGCUUUUGAUCUACGAGUUCAUGCCCAACAAAAGCUUGGAUGACUUUCUCUUUGGUUCGAUUAAUCACCAUACUUGAUUUCUAAACAAAUUUAAAGAAAUGCAUUAUCUUUCACAAAUCCUGGAUGAGUAAUUGCAUUAAGCUGAUUUAAUAUAAUUACUGAAGUAAAUCUUCCCAACACUCCCUCUGAGACUGCAAAUACAAGCCAUUAGACAAAAAACUAAUCGAUAUUCCAAGAUGGAAGUUCUUUGAACUUUUUUUUUUAUUCUCAAAAUGUUCAAAGAUGGCAAUAAGCAUAUUUUAAACAGCUUCAUUGCCAAAGGAAUGCCCAUAUCAUCUUAGCUGCAAAUUGGUAUAUAGAUUGUCAAGGAUAAUGAACAGGUAAUGCUGUGCUAAAAUGUUGAUGUGCAAUUAACUCUAGGUUGUCAUUGGUAGAUGCAUUCUUGCAUUUUUGAGGUUUCACUUCAUCUUCCUCAAAGAAAAAAGAAAAAAAAGCAAAAGAAAAAUAGAAUACUUUUCAUUCAUGAGAUGUUGAGAUAGAUCAGAAAUAAAACUUUCAGAAAAAAAUCUUGAUCAUCAGUACCGUUUCCAUUUUAAAAACACUGUAGGACAAAUUACUACAUAAGGUUUGAAACAUGCCUUAAUCUGCUAUUGUAAUUGUGAUUAGAAUAGUUUGUAUAAUCUAACACUGGAUCUUUUGUGUCACUAACAAACUAAUCAGAUGCAAUGAAUAAAAGAAUUUUAGAUUGGGAAAAACGCUACAGCAUUGUUGAAGGAAUUGCACGAGGGCUUCUCUACCUUCAUCGGGAUUCUAGGUUGAAGAUUAUCCACCGAGAUUUGAAAGCGAGCAACAUUCUACUAGAUGAAAAGUUCAAUCCAAAAAUAUCUGACUUUGGAAUGGCACGAAUGUUUGGUGGGGAUCAAAUUCAAGCAACAACAAACAGAGUUGUUGGAACAAUGUAAGUUAUUAAUCAUUAGUACUAUCAAGAAAUGGUUUACAUUUGGCAUAUGUAAGAGUAUGUGUAUAUUAUACCCAUAAGUAUGCUUGUGUAUAUAAACAUAUUAUUUGCACUAUAAAAGAGAAUAUUCUUUAUUUGAACUAAGUUAAUAGAAACCAUAUAUAAAUUAUAUGUUAAAACUACAAGGCAGAAAUGCCACAAGAAUAUAGUCAGUUUGGUUUUACUUUCAUAAUUUGAAACAGAUGGUCUAUAAGUUUUGUUGGGUUCAAAACUCUCACAAUGGUGUCAUCAUAAUCUUAGAGUUUCAGAUGUAACUUCAGGUAUUGGUUCCUUUUCUAGAAAACUUUCAUGCAACUAGUAAUUAUGAUAAUAUGAAUGUUAAGAAUGUCUUCUAUUCAAAAGAAUGUUAGGUUCAUGUCCUAGACACUAAAUCAUAUGCUUAAAAUGAUGAAAUGCAGUGGCUAUAUGUCCCCCGAAUAUGCUGUGGAAGGGAAAAUUUCUGAGAAAUCUGAUGUUUUCAGCUUCGGUGUCUUACUUUUGGAGAUAGUAAGCGGCAAGAGGAAUAGUUAUUUUGUUGAUGGUGAUCAAGCUCUUAACCUUUUGGGAUAUGUAAGUAAUUACUCAGAUUCACUGUUCUUAAGCUAGUUCCAAUUAUGUUUGAUAUAUGGAUUGAUAUUAACGUAUUUACAAAUUGAAUAUUUCACACUUCAGGCAUGGACAUUGUGGAAGGAAAACAGAGUCGAACAGCUAAUUGAGCCAUCACUGGGGAACUCAUUGUCUUAUUCAGAAGUGCUCAAAUGUAUUCAAGUGGGACUACUGUGUGUUCAAGAAAACCCAACAGAUAGACCAACCAUUUCUUUGGUAGUCUCUAUGCUAAGUAGUAAUGCAAAUCUUCCUUCUCCAAAACAAGCCGCAUUCUUUGGAGGGAGAAGUCUAGAAGAGAGCAAUGAAGCAUGCUCUAUAAAUUAUCUCAGUUACACUAAUUUAGAUUGCAGAUAAUUUAUAAAGUAAUACAAAAUCUAUAAACUUAACUCUAGAAGUAUUAUAAUGAUUGUGUGCCAAAACUCCAGCAACACGUUAUAUUGCUGCUGAAAUCAAUAAAUGGCAUCUUUGUUACAGCAUGAAGACAGCAGUAUUGUGAAGAUUAAGCAGUUAAUGGCACAUGAAUACUAUAUGCACUUCACCUAUGAAAGCAAUGGAACAUGCAUGUAUUUGUAAUUAUGAGCAAGGUACCUGGUUAGUUUUGCUCAAGGAUGUUUCCUUGGUAUAUGUGUUGGUGUUUGUAAUUUUUUAAGUUUGUUGAAAGAUGUCUAUUGUAAGAAUCCGUAUGAUAUAAUUGUUUUCUGCUGUUUUAUUUCAGCAUGGAUGCAUAGAUGAUCAGCUCACUCCCUAGUCUUGGUUCUUGUCUAUCAGUUCAUCCUUUCAAUGAAGGUUGUUAGUACUUCCAUUUUUGUUUUUUCUUAAACUAUCAGAAACUCCUAACAGCAAAUUGAUGUGAAUUACUUAAGUUACCGUUUUGUAUGGAAUAUCACUGAACAAAGGGUAAAAUUUGAAUAUUAAAUGAGUAUCUUCUACACCUUAAUUUAUCUUAUUCUUGUUCUAAAAUUUGUCAAGCCUUGUCACAAGUAGUGCAAGUCCUCUGCAUAUCCCAUGAUUUGCAUGUCUGCUAAAUGAUCUCAAAACCUCAGUUGAUUAAACUGUGCUAUUUAUUGCUUAGAAAUCCAGCCUUUCAAGGUGAAUGCAGUUUAGUCAUGCCAAUAACCUGAAGUGCAAUAGGUUUGAAUUGAGACCUCCAAUAUUAGGGACUAGCAUCAGUAAAUGGGCUUCGGCAAUCUACUUUUAUUCAAUGACAUGUGAAGUAAGAGAACCAAUUCAAGAAGAUUAACAAAAGACUGAGAAUGUCACUUUGAACAAGACGAAGUAUAGCAUCAGAAGCACGCGUUUGAGACUUUCUGAUGACUUUCGUCAAUGGUUCAAUGGAAAACGAGAUGUGAGACAUACAGUUGGCUUCAUAUAUGGAGCCAUUUUACAAAGCUGAUGAAAUUGUGGUUAAAAAUUGUGAUUGUUUCCAUGGCAUGGGAAUUGGUGGUUUAGACUUUAGACAAAACUACUUAUGUGCAGUGUCUACAAUAAUAUUCAUGUUAACAGAAAUUUAGUUGUUUCUAUUGGAAUAGAGGUUUAGGGAAAAUUUCUCCUGUGGAAGCUCCAUUGUAUAGUAUUGAAUAGACAUUUGAUUGCCAUGAAUAAGUCUGUCUAAAAAUUUCAGACAGCGUAACUCUUUGAAGGCAUCUUGAAAUGAAGAGGUGGCUCAAGGAGUGACUUGAAUAGCAAAACAGAAGACUCAAAAAGCCAUCGAGAGGCUGUUCAGAAAGUUGGGACUUACUGAAUAAAAGUUGUAUAAAAGAAAAAUCAAAUAGAUAUCUGGCUUCUAUGCUUUGCAUGUUCUUGAAUAACUUCGAGCCUUUGAGAUCUUCUCGGAAGCUGUCAUCAUCAACAAGAGCUUAAAAAAGAAGCGAACAAUAUGAAUUUUCUGGAAGCUGGAAGAGGACUAGUUUAUU